rfam:Myotis lucifugus cont2.575, whole genome shotgun sequence.
AGGCCCAAAGAGAGAGGCAGGAUCUGAUUCCCAGCCUCCAUGGCAUCUGUUGACCAGCUGUUGCCUCUCUCUUUCUCUCCU